GUCAGUCACAUCUGGAGGCUGGCUUGGCUACAAGUCUCCAACUGGAGGCUGGCUUGACACCAGUAGACGGUCGGUUCUGAUGAUGCUAGCUAAACGGAUCUAGAAGCUUUAUCCUAAACACUGUUAGCUUUAACAAUUUAAGUUUUUUGUUCAUCUGCACAAAGAUGUGUUGGAUAAUUUAAAGUAGUCAAAUCUAAAUCCCUAUAUUUAAUUUUGUUAGCUUAAAUUGCAUAGAUGGAGUUCUGGAGAAGGCUGGAGAUGGGGUUCUUGCCCUCCAGCUAGUGUGGAUGUGUGCAGUUACCCAGAUGUAAACAAUUUUCAUUGGGUCGUUACAUUUAAAAAACACCUUUAGAAAACUAAAAUUAACAAAAUAUGUAAAUGUUAAAAAGCUGUAUUUCGAUAGUUUUACGAUGGUUGUAACUGGGCCCUGUUGUAAAAUCUUUCCAGUGGGUCAUGUGUGGUCUGGCUAGUCUGUGACCACACAUUAUCUCCAUAGGACUCUUUUCUUAUCAUCUUAAAACAGUUUAUGUUUGAUCGGACUACUUUACAAGCUUUUGUUGACACGACAUUUAAAAUUUAACUGAGAUAUUAUUCAAAGAUGAUUCCCCAUUUAUAGAAAUGUGUUGAGGAUUAAGAGAGAAUCCUGUAGCCCUCUGGAAAUCAUAAACUGUCGGUUAAUUUAUCACUGACUGUGGCACCAUCUUUACCAGAUACACGAAAAACUGUGUCAUCAGCAUAUAUCUGUAAGCUCACCUCAGGUCAUACCUCUGGAAGAUAAUUGAUACAUAAGCUGAAUAGAAUGGGAUCUAGAAAUGUUCCUUUAAGUUUCGAUUUUUAGAAAAUUAGUUUUACAGUUAUUGUUGCUGACGCAUUCACAGUUCUGCAAAUAUGACUGAAACCAAGCGCUUGGAGAAAUGAAAGGAAGAAAGUUUUUAAAUUACUAUGCUAUAGUUUUCAGUAUCAAAUGCCUUUUUGAAAUCUAGAAAUACGGCAACAUUUCCUAAUUCCUAAUAUUCUAGGAGCUGCUCAGAAAAAAAUUUUGUCCAGGACUUGACAUGAUCAGUAGAAGGCUAAUGGGCCUGUAAUUAGCUUAGUCUUGGAUGUUCCCAGAUGGCUUCACCAGUGCCCUUUUCCAGCCAUCUGGAAACUGACCUGUUCUUGGAGGUUUGUGAACUUCCUUGAUGCCAAUUUUUAGUUCCUUCCAUAGAUCUAAGAUUCCUUCCUGUUGAAAUGUCCAAAGUAAUUUUUUCAGAGGACUCAUUUUUCUUUUGGAAUAACCACUAACUUUUUAUUUGAUGGUGUCUCUAAGAUCCUCUGUGAGGAAUUAUUUAAUAUUCUUAAUAAAAACAUCAGCAUGGAAUAAAGUUGAGUUAGCUGUGGAGCAUCCAUGUAGAAAUUAUCCAAAAACAGAACCAAUGGUAAACAGGAAGUAAAAUUUAGGGUAGGUCAAGAUUGGCCUUUUAGGCGGAAAGACGCUGAAGAAGCACUUUGACCUAAUGGACCUGGAGAUUGUUAUCUAAGAACAGAGGAUUAAAAAUGAUUGACUUUGUAAUUUUACUGCAAGAAAAUGGAUUUUAAAUUGGUUUUAAAGAAGGAAAUGUUUAAAAAUGAAUUUCCCCAACAAAUGUUUUUUUUUCAGUCAAAUGAAAGCUUAGUAAAUAAUUACUUAUAAAUUAGAAUUUGGCAUUGAUCUUGUUUCUGUGAAUCAAACUUCUAUUUUGAAUUGUAUAUCUAUGAACAUGUUUUACUUGAAUGAUAUUUUGAGGUUUUGGCUCCUCUUUCUUUUUUGUGCCUUUGCAAAAGCCUGGUUGUGUGAUUGUAUUUUGUAAUUUAUGCUGGGAACUGUACAUUUGACCCAUUUUGCUGCUUUUUGAGUUUUAUAGUGUUGAAUUGGAUUCUAUCUCUAGACUUUAUAAAAGCUUAUAUUCAGGAACACAAAAGGAGAUGUCAUGAUGAUUUAGCAUGUUUUGGAAUUGUGUGGAAAGCAGCGUGACUUUUAAAGCAGCUUCUUGACAAGGAAAUCCACCAAACAGCUACUGAAGGUGAAUAUUGCUUGAAGGUAUUUGCCGUGCUGGUCUCUGUUUGCUUUCUCAGGUUUCACUGUUUAUUUUUGUAAAAUGCUGUGAAUGUUCUCACUGCUGUAUAAAAAAGGUGUAAACGUGGUUCACCUAUUCAUUCAUAUGUUAUCAAAUGUGAAGUAUGUUUUUCCUCUGUUUUCAUUAUUUUCUGUUAUGAUUUUAAAAAAUUAAAAUGAAUAGAAACAGAAGUUUUCUUCAGUUUUACAUUAAAGUGACAGUGUGUAUUUUCCCUGGCGAUAGGGGGCAGUAGAUACCUAAAUCAUUGCAAGCAAGCGAUAUUUUUGUGUUCAAGUAAGACCGUAAUGUUGGCCAUUAGGUCAAAAAUCUUUGGGUGUGCAAUCUCCAGCUAAAUAACAUCAGAUUCCCUUUCAUCACUUGGAAUGAGUGAAGAGGUAAACGUGUAAAAGAACGGUUAUUAAUGCUGAAAGUUUUGUUACCAUUUGUUACAAAUCAGUAAAUGUGUUCUGUCCUCACGGGUGUCUGUAGAAGGAAACAUGGCAUACAAUAUGGCGUCGCCCAGAGACUUAGAUCCGCUCCCAUGCAUUUUAGAUGCAAUUUUUAUGGUUACAUGUUAUAAAACCGCCAAUAUUUUUCAACAAUUUACUAUCUUUUAAUUCAUUUACAACAUUUCAAUGAAUAUUUCCAGAGAUUAAUGGUAGAAACUACACAAUCUCACUUUAAAACAUCUUAAAGGCGUGUUUCCAUUGUAACUUCCAGGUUAUUUCUGGGUGGGGAGCAUCGACAUAUCUAUAUGAUCUGUUUUGGGGGUCUGUUGUGGGGGCUUGGGUGGGGAGAGACAAUGGCUCAGUCCUCUCUGCUGUUGUGUUUCCAUACAAAUGUAAACCUUUAAGGACUUUGCACAGACGUCAGCCUAUCGCGACUGUUUCGGCAGUGAGUGAUGUCACUGGUGAGCACCAAAAAGUGUCCACAUUAACAUUUAAGGUUUUAUUUCUGUCGGAGUACGGAAAUGUAAUCCAUUCGGAAGAGAGAGUGGCUGUAUAAUGUAAAAUGUGUUAGUUGACCAGAAGCACCAUUUAUUUACAGUGCUCUGUGAGGUCUGAUUAAAUACUUCUCCACAAGGCAGAGACGCACACGCAUUGACAGACAUUUUGCUUUCUGACUUCUCCGUCACCUGGGGAGUGUUGCAAAGCAAUUCCCCGCCAGGACAACAGAGGGCGUAGCGCUUUUCUGUGGUAUAAUGUCACCAUUACACUAAUGUAUCCGAUCCACGAUAGCAUAUUUACUAACCUGUUUAUAUAUUUCAGACUUUGUCACACGGAUUAAUUUGUCCUCCACUUCUUCAUGUGGAUGUCGUCUCUAAACCAUGCUCUAAUCCCACGUUUCCCAUCAUUUUUGUCUACGGAGAAAACAUUUGCUCUGUGUUUUUGUACUCCUUCAGUCACGGGUGAAUAAAUGUUCAUAUUUUUGGACGUUUCCCACGCUGCGUUCUUCAAUCUGUUCCGUGUGCGCCGCUAAAUAUCUUUUUACUUUUUGACAGUACAAUGGUGGUGCUGUUGACAAAUUUACAGGAAGGGUUGUCUUGACCAAUCACAGGUGUGGUCUCCGUCACUUUUGACAGAUAUUUAAAAAUUUGAGUGUGCCAGAAAGCCGUUGCACAGAUGUAUUUUUGCGUUGCGUGUCUCCGCACAGACGCAGGUGGUGAAGCCAAGCCAAUUUUAUUUGUAUAGCACCUCAGAACAGUAUAAACCCGACCAAAGUGCUUCACAUAAAUUAAAAACGAUACACAACAUAAAAUACAUGAAAACUAAAGCUUAAGAACUAACACUAAAAAGACUCAUGCUGAGUUAAAAACCAAAUUUCUGCUUCACAAGCAACUCUUCUAAAUUUCUAAUGCUGGUUGUUUUGGACCUCCAACCAAUCAGCAUGAGUUAACGAAAAGUUCUUCUCAGUAUCUCUACCGGGCCUUUCUGAGUAACUACCCCUGUUCAGGAGGUCUGUUGGUUCCUAAAAAUGGCCCGGUAAACGGCCUGUUCAACUCCGCCGGUGAAGGGGAGACACACAUGGGAAGUCCUGGUAAAGUCACCCGGAAGUUCUGAUAGUGGAAACACGCCUGAAGAGAUGAAGCCUUAUGGUCUGCCUGAUCAUUUCAUGAGUUCAAUAAUCUAAUAAAUGAAAUCAUGUAUAAUAUAGCACUUCUGAAGGGAAGUUCAUUACUACCAGUAUAACCAUUAAAUAAAAAAAUCAAUGUGGUAUCAAAUAGUAGCUGCAUAAACUGAAACAUUUGAGUUUGGGAUGAGAAGAGUCACCUUUCGGUGUUGUGUGACGGGGUGAGUACUCCCUCUUCUCUACAACAUCUUUGUAAGAUCUUCAUUCCAGGAGAGGGCACUCACCAGCUGCGGAGCAUUACCGAUCAGCGGCAGCUGCAGUUCCUCUAAUCAACCGCAGCAGACCUCUAUUUAAGAGGAGAGGGAACCACUUCACAUCGCUGGAUGAUUAACUACUCACGGAUACUUGGAAUCGCUGAGCCAUUGUUGGAUGUACCUACCUGGAAGUCACCAUAAAGCCGGGCGUACACUGCGACUUUUUCACUCGUAGCACUCAGCUUCAGCUCAAACUGUACGACUUCCUCGCAGGGCAGAUCUCACGAGUCAUGUGCUCACACUGCACGACCCAGUUCUCGGAUGCGACCUGACUGCUCACACUGUACGUCUGGUAGCAACACGUCGGCCCUAAAAAUGUGCUAAAAAUAGCAGUUUUUACUCAACACGUCAGACUUUUUUGUCUUGUCUGUUGUCCUUCGGGAGUGCUGCAGGAGGACACACAGGGAUUUAUGGGGGUUGGAUGUGGAAAACGAAAUAAAGUGAAUCUGUGUUUUGUGAUCAGUUUAAUUUGACAUGAACACGACAAACACGCUUUCUUGACAAUCAUUGUGAGUAAAAAAAAACGUGUAGAAACAAAAACGAACAGCGUGUGUUAUUAGGGAAACAGCGAGCGACCGGCCGGCGUUGAUGCAGGAUUGCGCGCGCAUACGCCGUGAGCGGUUCUGAUACUUUUUGGAUCGUAGCUGCUCGCAGCGCCGCUUCAACAGUGCGAUACCCUCACGAGGGACGAGCGAAAUAUUAAACACACCAGAAGUCCCUGCGACCUCACGACUGCUGAUCGGCGGCUGGUCACGUGGUGUUAAUCGCCUCUCGUAACCCCCUGUACACUACACGACCGCUCGGCGCAAAACUCGCCCCGAUGUCGUGGCUUCUCGCACGACUGGAAAAUCGGCUCAAAAAAGUGAAAAAGUCGCACAGUGUACGCCCGGCUUAACCCGCCUGGAUUACAAUUCUCAAGGUUCGCCUCUCCUCCUGCUCCACUGCCCUCUGCUGCCAUCAUCUGGCUCCCUCUCCUGGACACCCCGUCACACCGUCUACCCUCCCUGCUGGCUUCUGGACUCGUGCCGGCUACGUUGUACUUGGAUAUCUUCAGGACACUUUUAGUUAGGUUAAAUAAAUCAUUGUUUGAACUUUCUUCCUUUGUCAUGUGAUGAUUCUUCAUGUCGUGGGUUAAACACCUUCCCAGGGACAUAACAUUCUGUUUGAGCAGAACUAAUCCGUCUUUCUCCAAACACAGGCUGUUCAAAGAGCAAUGAUGAUAAAUUAUAGCUUUUUCACACAAUCCCACUUCAAAGAUGUGAACUAUGACUAUAAAGCUAUUGUUUUGGAUUUAGGGAUUUAAUCCACAACAUUCAGUCUUUUCUUUCAGAUACAAUCUGCAUUCUGAGCAUUUCUUGCAUAAAUAAACAGAAUUCAGCUGGA